UACGGAGGGUGCGAGCGUUGUCCGGAAUCACUGGGCGUAAAGGGCGCGUAGGUGGCCCUACAAGUCAACGGUGAAAGCUCGGCGCUCAACGCCGAGUCGGCCGUCGAUACUGUUGGGCUGGAGCACUGUAGAGGCUCAUGGAAUUCCGGGUGUAGCGGUGGAAUGCGUAGAGAUCCGGAAGAACACCGGUGGCGAAGGCGGUGAGCUGGGCCGACACUGACGCUGAUGCGCGAAAGCCAGGGGAGCGAACGGG
rnacentral:rRNA from 1 species